AAGAUUUUAUGUUAAAAAACACACAGCCUUCAAAGCUGUAAUUAAAAGUAAAAAUCUUUUAAGUCUUA
rnacentral:tRNA from 1 species